CUUAAGAAAUCCACUUCUAUUAAUUAAUUGGAGUCCGGAGAGCUACUUCCGGAGUCCGCGCAGAAUAAUUUUGGAAGUCCGCGCAGAAUAAUUUUCCCGAUCACAGUCGACUCUCCACGCCUCCAGGAAAUACCCAAUCAACUCCCAGGAGGCCAACGUAGUGUUGCCGCAUCCCCGUACGCGGGUCUUCGAUUUGGAUGCCGCGGUUAGUGACGACGAUAGCGGAGAAAACGAGGAGGAAGAUCGGAGUUUGGAUCUCCUUGCACGGUUCCUGCGUGAAAUCUUUCGAAAAAUAUCCCGUCGGGCUCGCAAAGCCUUUCGAUCGGUAUUGCCUCCAUCAGUCUCAACCAAACUGGAUUUGUAGCAACUUUUCAUCAUUAUUAUCAAAAUUUGAUUUUACCACCCCCCCUCUCAUCACUCUCCCUCUUCCCCUUUCCGUGCAUAGUGCGUGGAUCGAAUGAUCGUCGACUACAUCAAAGUCUGAAGUAUGGUUGUCUGCUCGUUCCAGAUCUUCCUGAUCUCCUUGGCCGGAAAUGAUAGGAUGCAGCCUUUUUAGCAGAGCAAAAAAGACGAUAUACUGAGGUGGAUCAAUUAUAGGAGGAUUAAGUAGAGAAGAAAGUAAUAGGGAGAUUGAAACCACCCCUUCUACUCCAGCCCACCCAGAUUCAUAAGAAGAGAUUGAGUGUAGUAGGACCCAACAAACUCCAUGACAUUCAUUUUGCGGCGAAGCUCCUGCCCCAGAAAAGGGGGUUAUGACUCAUAGGUAUGGUUUUAUAUUAUUUCAAAAUUGUUAUGCUGUUCAUGCUUAUUUUAUUUAUUUUGCCUUGUAAAGAUGAGCAAGAAAAUCCUAUCAGGCAUAUGGGGCGUACAACAUGUGUUUAUAUAUAAAAUAUGUCACUAGGAACACGAAUUUACAUAGAGAUAAAUGAAAAUAACAUCCCCUAUAAUAUCAUUGAGUCCAUUUUUGCUAGGAUUAUAUCUUGAUAUUUUUGCAAGAGAUCCUAUUUUGACUUUAGUAGCUUUUCCUGAUUGGAGAAAUAAGGGUAUGGAGCCCUUCAAAAAGAAGAUGUUGGCUGAAAUUGAGAUAUGUAGAGUCCACAGUAAAUUUAAAUUUUUUCAGUUAUGUAAUAUUAACCAUAAAACAUUGUUAACUGCAGUCUAAAUUUGAGCUCUUGGUCAUAUACGCCAUUGGAUUCUUUAAUCCAUUGGUAUUAAAUUGCUUAAUUAUAAAACUACAUUAAAGGCUGAACACUAGAACGAUAGAUUAAUUGAGAAAAUUAUGAAGAUUGUUCCAAAUGGAGUUGAUCAAAUAUAAUGGUAUCAACUUAUUACACAAUGAUCAAAAUCAGAGGAUCAAGUAAGUAUUGAAUUUAAGCUUAUUUGUUAAAAAAAUUAUUACUAUUAUAAAAUUUUAAAUUUAAUAUUAUAAUAUAAGAAAGAGCUACCAAAUAUUCUGGGAAUACCAAAAAGCAAAUUUAUCCUCACAUAAUGGGUCGUGUGAGCUCAGUUCAGAGACAGAAGGAAAUAAUAUACCUUUAAUUUUAGUUAAUUAUAACUAUUAAAUAUUUUAUUUACAAACAUACAUUUUUAUUAUAAUUUUUUUUUUGUAGUCUAUUAAAGAUAGAUUCCAAUAAUGAAAAAUCAAUAAGAUGCACAAAGAUGGGAACUAGUCAUCUGAAGAUGUUAUGUAGCGAUGAGCACGUAUAUAUAGUGAUUACAAAUUAUUUUUUAUAAUCAGUUCUUCAAUAGAUUUAUAUGUAAUUGUAAUAUAGACGCAAGCAUGUCAUCUUCUUACCGAAAAAGGGCUUACUCAAACGGAAACAUUAAAUCUAAUGUGAGAGUUUUUAGUAUAAUUAUGGGAGUAGAACAUUUAGGUUGAGUUCAUAUAUAGGGAUUUAGUGUCAUGCCGACCAUAUACUUUUCUCAAAGCAGAAGUGUUGCAGUUGGUGGUAGCGGUAACAACUUUGCUCAGAUAGCUUGUGUUAGAAAAGAGUUCAUAUUAUUUUGUGAUGAGAUGAGACAAUUCAACUUAUUUUAUGAUUAGAUGAGAUAGUUUAUGCAAUAAUUUCAAAUGAAUUAACCGCCUUAUGGAGAGAAUUUUUAUUCUGUGUGGAGUUAGAAUGUUGUCCAGAGACUAACAAAAAUACGUCAUCACCCCAAAAGUGUACUGAGUGCGGUAUCGAUGCUUGGUACCAAGCAGGUACCGGACGGUGCUCCCGUCCGAUGUCCGCACAGAAUAAUCUCUCCCAUAGAGGAUCAAAAAUGGUAUGAUUUUUUUUAUAUAAUUUUAAUAUAAAUUGCUUGAUUAUUACUAUCUUAUUUUCUUCAUACUAUUUUCAGGGUGACAAUGACAAUUUAUUUGAUGCAUGACAAUAUUCUAGAAAUUUAAGUUUGUUAUGCUGAUAAGCUUUGGUAUUUGUUGUGAUGUUUCUAGUUGUAUGGAUAUUUUAUGUAUUUUUGAAUUUAUGUUGUUUUGCUUUGAACUCUCGUGGUUCUUGUGAUAUUUGAACUUGCGAUAAUUUUACUUGUAAUUAUAUUUUAUUACUUUCUUCUUGCUAGUUGUUUUUUUAUUUAAAUUACUUUGAGAUCUUAAACUUGGAUUGAGAAUAUUAUUGUUAUGUUGCUUAUGUAUAUAUGAGAUUGUAGUGAACAUUCAGAUUUUGUGUUUUAAAAGAAAUUGUACACUUGCAUCGGUUUUGUAUUUUUUUCUCAAUUGCAAAACUACCAAAAAAUAGGGUUACCACAUCACAAUUUUUUACUUAUCCCGGCGAUUUUAAUCGUCACAUUUUUAAAAUUAGUUGUGUAAUUGAGAAUGAAAACACAAAACAACAACAAAUGUUCAGAAUUUUUUUUUAAAAACACAAAAUUUGAAUGUCCACUGUAAUCUCAUAUACACAUAAGCAACAUAGCAAUAAUAUUCUCAAUUCAAGUUUAAGAUUUCAAAGUAAUUGAAAUCACAGAAAAUAACUAGCAAUGAGAAGCUAAGGAAAUAUAAUUACAAGUGCAAGCAUCAUAAGUUCAAACAUCAUAAGAAUCACUAGAGUUCAAAAUCAAAAUAAUAUAAGUUCAAAAGUAUAAAAUAUUCAUACAACUAGAAUAAUCACAAUAAAUAUUAGAGCUCAUCAGUAGAACAAAUUUAAAGUUUCUAGAAUACUGUUAGGGAUGAAUUGUCAUUGUCAUUCUGAAAAAUAGUAUAAAGAUAAUAAGAUACUAAUAAUCAAGCAAUUUACAUAAAAAAAUACAAAAAAAAAUUAUACCAUUUUUUAUCCUCCAUAAGGUGGUUGAUUCAUUUGAAAUUAUUGCAUAAAUAAUCUCAUCUCAUCACGAAAUGAGCUGAACUGUCUCAUAUCAUUACGAAAUAAUAUGAACUACUCUUUAAGAUUAGCUCUCUAAGCAAAGUUGCUACCACUAUCAUAAUAUGCUUUACUUCUGCUUCAAGGAAAGUAUUUGGUUGGUGUGACAUCAAAUCUCUGGGUAUGAACUCGACCUGAAUAUUCUGGUCUCAUAAUUAUACUAAAGACUCUCUCAUUAGCUUCAAUGUUUCCAUCUUCAGGUGUAAGUCUUUCCUCGGUAAGAAUAUUACAUGCUUGCGUCUACAUUACAAUUAUAUAUAAAUUUGUUCUAGAACUGAUUAUAAAAAAGAAUUUGUAAUCACUAUAUAUAUGUACCAAUCGCUGCAUAGCAUCCUAAGUUGAUCAAGUUCAAUCUUUGUGCAUCCUAUUGAUUUUCCAUUAUUGUAAUAUGUCAUUAAUAGACUACAAAAAAAUUAUAAUAAAAAUAUAAGUUUAUAAAUGAAAUAUUUAGUAGUUAUAAUUAACUAAAGUUAAAUUUAUAUCUUUUCCUUCAGUGUUCGAACUGAGCUCACACAACCCAUUGUGUGAGGACAAGUUUAUUUUUUUGGCAUUCGUAGAAUUUUUGACUGUCCUUUCCUACAUGAUAAUGCUAAAUUUAAAAAUUUAUAAUAGUAAUAAUUUUUUAACAAACAAGUUUAACAUCAAUACUUGAUCAUCUGGCUUUGACCAUUAUGUAACAAAUUGACAUCAUUGCAUUUGAUCAACUCCAUUUAGAACAAUCACCAAAAUUUUUCUCAAUUGGUCUACUGUCCCAAUGCUCAACCUUUAAUGUGAUUUUAUAAUUACACCUUUUAACACUAAUAGGAUUGAAGAAUCUAAUGACGUAUAUGAUUAGAACGUUCAAAUUUAUAAUGUAGUUGAUAAUGUUAUAUGGUUAAUAAUACAUAAUUGAAAAAAAUUAAAUUUAUUGUAGAUUAUACAUACCUCAAUUUCUGCCAACAUCUUCCUUUUAAAGGACUCCAUAUUCUUAUUUCUCCAAUCAGGAAAAGCUAUUGGAGCCAAAACAAGUCUCUUGCAACAAAUCAAAAUAUGAUCCUAGCAAAAUGGACUCAAGGAUGUUACAGGGGAUGUUAUUUUCACUUAAUUCUAUGUGAAUUCGUGUCCCUGACGGCAUAUUUUGUAUAUCAGCACAUGUUGUACGCCUCCUACGCUUGAUAGGAUUUCCUUGUUCAUUUUCACAAGACAAAAUAAAUAAAAUAAGCAUGAAUAACAUCACAAUUUUGAAAUAAUAUAAAAUUAUACUUAUGAGUUAUACCCCCUCUUUUGGGUAGGAGUUUCGCUGCAAAAUGAAUGUCGUGAAGUCUGUUGGGUCCAACUGCACUCAAUCUCUUCCUGUGAAUCUGGAUGGAUUGGAGUAGAAGGGUUUUCAGUCUCCCUACUACAAGUUUUUGAUAGAGAUUGCAAAGAUUCCUACUGCUUCAAGGAAACAAAUCAACCAUGAUGAGUAAAUUUAUGCUUUCCGAAGAUUCUCAAAGGCUAUCAGAAAGAUGUUAUAAAUGUAAAUAACUAUAUAUGUAUAAUUUGUAUUUAACAACUACACCUCAAAUUGUUUAUUUUGGAACUAUUCAUUCAUUGAUAUACUUUAAGAGUUGUUUGUUCUGCUUAAAAAAAGGAGCUACUUCAUUCA